GGUCUCGUGGUGUAGUGGUUAUCACGCCUGCUUCACACGCAGGAGGUCGCCGGUUCGAUCCCGGCCGAGAUCA
rnacentral:tRNA from 1 species